GUGACUGAAGCGCCCGCAGGUGCCUGUGCCUGUGUAUCCCGACAAUAAACCAAAUCCUCUUGCUGAUUGCAUCCUGUGGUGUCUCGGUCUGGUCUUUGGAGUUGGAGGGUCUCCAUCCCGAGGGAAAGUUCUCCCAGAGAGCUUUUCAUUUGGUGCGUUGGCCGGGAAAGGAGAUCCUCCACCCAGGGACCACCGACCACCCACUGGGAGGUAAGCUGGCCGGCGUCUGUCUGUCUGCCUGAUUUUGUCUCGUUCUGCCUUAUUCUGUCUGUUCUGUGAGCGCUCAGCCAGGUCUGUUCUGUGAGCGCUCAGCCAGGUUGUUUGGAAUUUGGGCGGGACGAAGAAGGAGCUGACGAGCUCGGACUUCUCGCCCUGCAGCCCUGGAAGACGUUCCAAGGGUGUUAGGGGCCCGACUUUUCGGGGCCCAAUCUGGGAGAGGAGAAAGAUCCGGACUAACGGCACCUCUGUCUGUAUUUUUGGCUUUCAGAGGGCCCCGGACCUUUGCCACCUCCAUCUGACUUUUUGCUUUCAGUUUGGUACCAAAGCCGUGCAGCACGCCUGUCUGUUGUUUGUUUGACUGUUGGUGUUGUUUGUUUUCUCUGUGUUCUAAUCUUCCUUAGAACUAACAUGGGACAGUCCCUAACAAUGCCCCUAAGUCUCACUCUUGAUCAUUGAGAAGACGUCCACGACCGGACACACAACCAGUCCAUCGAGGUUAAAAAAGGAAAAUGACAGACUCUCUACACAUCCGAGUGGCCCACUUUCGGAGCGGGAUGGCCAGUGAAUGACACAUUUAAUAAGAUCAUUAUUUUACAGGUUAAAGAUCGGGUCGUCCACGGACAUCCUGACCAGGUUUCUUAUAUUAUCACUUGAGAGAGUCUCGCCUUAACCCCCCCCCGGGCGGAACCCUUCGUGAACCCGAAUUGGCCUCCCCUCAACCCCCAGCCUGUCCCCUCGGCCCCGCCCGGUCCGCCGGCCACGUCUUCCUCUCUCUACCUUUGUGAAAUCAGAGCCUUCUAAGAAACCUGUCCUCCCGGCAGACCCAAACUCCCCUCUCAUAGA
ensembl:lncRNA